rnacentral:lncRNA from 1 species
CUCGUGUGUGAAAUUUUGCCCUUUUGGUUUUUCCUGCAGUGUGCUGGUGAGGAGAACUAUGUGGACAGCCGGACGGUCUACAUCGGACACAAGGAGCCUCCCCCCGGAGCCGAUGCCUUCAUUCAGCAGAGAUUUCCCGACAACAGAAUAGUUUCCUGCAAGUACACGUUUUGGAACUUCAUCCCCAAGAACAUGUUCGAGCAGUUCCGGCGAGUCGCCAACUUUUACUUCCUCAUCAUUUUCCUGGUUCAGUUGAUUAUCGACACACCCACAAGUCCGGUCACGAGCGGUCUGCCUCUGUUCUUUGUCAUCACAGUCACAGCCAUUAAACAGGGGUACGAGGACUGGCUGAGGCACAAAGCGGACAAAGCUGUCAACCAGUGUCUGGUCACCGUGGUCCAGCGCGGGAAGAAGAUCAGCAAAGAGAGCUGCAGACUCACGGUUGGAGAUGUGGUCUAUGUGAAGGAAGACGAGACUUUUCCGUGCGACCUCAUCCUCCUCUCUUCAUCUCGAGAUGAUGGAACGUGCUACGUUACCACAGCCAGCUUGGAUGGAGAGAGCAGCCACAAGACCUAUUACGCCGUCCAGGACACCAAAGCCUUCACCACCGAGGAGGAGGUGGACUCCAUCCACGCCACCAUCGAAUGUGAACAACCGCAGCCGGACCUGUACAAAUUUGUCGGCCGCAUCAACAUCUAUACGGACAACGAGUCGGUUGCUAGGCCGCUGGGGUCGGAGAACGUCCUGCUCCGAGGAGCCACGCUCAAAAAUACCAAGUACAUCUAUGCUGUUGCCAUCUACACGGGAAUGGAAACCAAGAUGGCUCUCAACUACCAGUCCAAGUCCCAAAAACGAUCCGCCGUGGAAAAGUCCAUGAACUCCUACCUGGUGGUGUACCUGUGCAUCCUCAUCAGCAAAGCGCUCAUCAACACGGUGCUGAAGUACAUCUGGCAGGCUGACCCCAACAGAGACGAGCCCUGGUACAACGACAGGACGGAGACGGAGAGGCAAAGACACAUCCUGAUCAGGGCCUUCACCGACUUCCUGGCCUUCAUGGUCCUGUUCAACUACAUCAUUCCCGUCUCCAUGUACGUCACGGUGGAGAUGCAGAAGUUCCUGGGCUCCUACUUCAUCAUGUGGGACGACGACAUGCACGAGGAGGAGCUGGGCGAGAGGGCCGUGGUCAACACGUCUGACCUGAACGAGGAGCUGGGGCAGGUGGAGUACGUCUUUACGGACAAGACGGGGACUCUGACGGAGAACAACAUGGAGUUCAUAGAGUGCUGCGUGGACGGACAGAUCUACGACGCUGACGCCAUCUGUAACGGACAGGUAAUGCCCCGCCCACACCACAUAGACAUGAUCGACAUGUCUCCUGGACCGGGGGGCAGGGAGCGGAAGGAGCUGUUUUUCCGGGCCUUGUGUUUGUGCCACACGGUGCAGGUGAAGGAGGAGGAGACGGUGGACGGGAUCAAACAUGGCAUCCACCAGGGAAAGCCCUCCUCCUUCUACAUCUCCUCGUCGCCGGAUGAAGUCGCUCUAGUGGAGGGCAUGAAGAAGCUUGGUUAUACCUAUCUGAGGCUCAAAGACGGUCACAUGGAGAUCUUAAAUAAGGAGGACGAGAUUGAGAGGUUUGAACUUCUGGAGGUUUUGUCGUUCGACUCGGUCCGGAGGAGGAUGAGCGUCAUCGUCAGAGCCUGCUCCGGUGACAUCUACCUGUUCUGCAAGGGCGCCGACUCCUCCAUCCUCCCCAGAGUGGUCUCAGGAAAGGUGGCUGAGGUGAAAGCUCGAGUGGAACACAACGCCGUGGAUGGCCUGAGGACUCUGUGUGUGGCCUAUCGGCCGCUGGCAGCCAGCAGCAGAAAUACGGCACAUUUUAUUAGAAUAAAAAGUGAUUUAAAACGUGUUUUAUCUUGGUUUUUCAGGCUGCAGGACAAAGCGGCAGAUACCAUCGAGUCUCUCCACAAAGCGGGAAUGAAGGUGUGGGUUUUGACCGGAGACAAGAUGGAGACGGCGGCCGCCACCUGCUACGCCAGCAAGCUGUUCCGCCGCGGCACCCACAUCCUGGAGCUGACCACCAAACGGGUGGAGGAGCAGAACCUCCACGAUGUCCUGUUUGAACUGAGCAGGACGGUCCUCCGGCCCCCUGGGAGCAUGACGCGGGACCACUGCUCCAGUUUGUCGACUGACUGCACCGACUACGGGCUGAUCAUCGAUGGAGCCACCCUCUCUGCAGUCAUGAGUUACAAAGAGAUCUUUCUGGAAAUCUGUCGUAACUGCAGCGCCGUGCUCUGCUGUCGAAUGGCGCCGCUGCAGAAAGCUCAGAUUGUGAAAAUGAUUAAAACUUCCAAAGAGCAUCCGAUCACGCUGGCCAUCGGAGACGGCGCCAAUGAUGUCAGCAUGAUCCUGGAGGCCCACGUCGGCAUCGGCAUCAUGGGUAAAGAGGGGCGUCAGGCUGUGAGGAACAGCGACUACGCCAUCCCCAAGUUUAAGCACCUGAAGAAGAUGCUGCUCGUCCACGGACAUUAUUACUACAUCCGCAUCUCGGAGCUGGUUCAGUACUUCUUCUACAAGAAUGUUUGCUUCAUCUUCCCACAGUUCCUCUACCAGUUCUUCUGCGGCUUCUCCCAGCAGCCGCUGUACGACACCGCCUACCUGACGCUCUACAACAUCAGCUUCACGUCGCUGCCCAUCCUGGUGUACAGCCUGAUGGAGCAGCACAUCAACAUGGACAUCCUGAAGAAGGACCCCUCCCUCUAUAAAGAUAUUGCCAAGAACUCGUUGCUGAGAUGGCCCACCUUCAUAUACUGGACCGUUCUGGGGGUCUACGACGCCAUCGUCAUGUUUUUCGGCGCCUACUUCCUGUUCGAUAACACCACCUUCACCAGCAACGGACAGAUGUUUGGGAACUGGACGUUUGGGACGCUGGUCUUCACCGUGCUGGUCUUCACCGUCACCUUCAAGCUGGUCCUGGACACGCAUUACUGGACGUGGAUCAACCACUUCGUCAUCUGGGGGUCGCUGGUGUUCUUCGUGCUCUUCUCUCUGCUGUGGGGUGGAAUCAUCUGGCCGUUCCUCAACUACCAGAGGAUGUAUUACGUCUUCAUGCAGAUGCUGUCCAGCGGCCCGGCCUGGCUCAGCAUCAUCCUCCUCAUCACCGCCGGCCUGCUGCCAGACGUGGUGAAGAAGGUCAUCUGGAGGGCCAUGUGGCCCACCAUCACCGAGCGCAUACAGGUGAUCGCUCCGCCCCUCCACGUGCGUGCGGUGCUCCUGUCUUCUCACAAACUCAAGAAUGGAUGUUUAUAG